UACGUACGAGGCGAGCGUUAUCCGGAAUUACUGGGCGUAAAGCGCACGUAGGCGGCUUUGUAAGUUAGAGGUGAAAGCCCAGGGCUUAACCCUGGAAUUGCCUUUAAGACUGCAUCGCUAGAAUCGUGGAGAGGUGAGUGGAAUUCCGAGUGUAGAGGUGAAAUUCGUAGAUAUUCGGAAGAACACCAGUGGCGAAGGCGACUCACUGGACACGUAUUGACGCUGAGGUGCGAAAGCGUGGGGAGCAAACAGG
rnacentral:rRNA from 1 species